rnacentral:rRNA from 1 species
UACGGAGGGUGCAAGCGUUAUCCGGAUUCACUGGGUUUAAAGGGUGCGUAGGUGGGCAGGUAAGUCAGUGGUGAAAUCUCCGAGCUUAACUCGGAAACUGCCGUUGAUACUAUUUGUCUUGAAUAUUGUGGAGGUAAGCGGAAUAUGUCAUGUAGCGGUGAAAUGCUUAGAUAUGACAUAGAACACCAAUUGCGAAGGCAGCUUACUACGGGUGCAUUGACACUGAGGCACGAAAGCGUGGGGAUCAAACAGG